AGGUGCGAUCAUACCAGCACUAAUGCACCGGAUCCCAUCAGAACACCGCAGUUAAGCGCGCUUGUGCGAGAGUAGUACUAGGGUGGGUGAGCUCCUAGGUUUGGCUCAUGUUCGACUA
rfam:Lupinus angustifolius cultivar Tanjil contig_20970, whole genome shotgun sequence.